rnacentral:rRNA from 1 species
CCUACGGGUGGCUGCAGUGGGGAAUAUUGGGCAAUGGGCGCAAGCCUGACCCAGCGACGCCGCGUGAGGGAAGACGGUCUUCGGAUUGUAAACCUCUUUCAGCAGGGAAGACAAAAGGACGGUACCUGCAGAAGAAGCCACGGCUAACUACGUGCCAGCAGCCGCGGUAAUACGUAGGUGGCAAGCGUUAUCCGGAAUUACUGGGUGUAAAGGGUGUGUAGGCGGGUUUGCAAGUCAGAUGUGAAAAUUAUGGGCUCAACCCAUAACCUGCGUCUGAAACUACAGAUCUUGAGAGUGGGAGAGGUAAACGGAAUUCCCGGUGUAGCGGUGAAAUGCUUAGAGAUCAUACAGAACACCGAUUGCGAAGGCAGCUUACCAAUCUAUAUCUGACGUUGAGGCACGAAAGCGUGGGGAGCAAACAGGAUUAGAUACCCGAGUAGUC